rnacentral:misc_RNA from 1 species
GAUGAAGAACGCAGCGAAAUGCGAUACUUGGUGUGAAUUGCAGAAUCCCGUGAACCAUCGAGUCUUUGAACGCAAGUUGCGCCCGAAACCAUCAGGUUGAGGGCACGUCUGCCUGGGCGUCACAUAUCGUUGCCCAAUGCCUAUUGCAGUGCAAUAGGAAUUUCUAGGGCGAAUGAUGGCUUCCCGUGAGCGUUGUUGCCUCGCGGUUGGUUGAAAAUCGAGUCCUUGGUAGGGUGUGCCAUGGUAGAUGGUGGUCGAGUUAGAACGAUACCGAUCAUGUGCAUGCUCCCCAAAAUAUGGCCUCUAUGACCCACACGCGUCUUUUGACGCUCAUGACGAGACCUCAGGUCAGGCGGGGCUACCCGCUGAAUUUAAGCAUAUCAAUAAGCGGAGGA